CUCGCCGUAGCUCAGCGGUCAAGAGCGUCGCCCUGAUAAGGCGAAGGCCGGUGGUUCGACUCCACCCGGCGAGACCA
rnacentral:tRNA from 1 species